rnacentral:rRNA from 1 species
AACGAACGCUGGCGGCAUGCCUAACACAUGCAAGUCGAACGAGACCUUCGGGUCUAGUGGCGCACGGGUGCGUAACGCGUGGGAACCUGCCCUUAGGUUCGGAAUAACUCCCCGAAAGGGGUGCUAAUACCGGAUAAUGUCUUCGGACCAAAGAUUUAUCGCCUUUGGAUGGGCCCGCGUUGGAUUAGCUAGUUGGUAGGGUAAAAGCCUACCAAGGCGACGAUCCAUAGCUGGUCUGAGAGGAUGAUCAGCCACAAUGGGACUGAGACACGGCCCAGACUCCUACGGGAGGCAGCGGUGGGGAAUAUUGGACAAUGGGCGAAAGCCUGAUCCAGCAAUGCCGCGUGAGUGAUGAAGGCCUUAGGGUUGUAAAGCUCUUUUACCCGGGAUGAUAAUGACAGUACCGGGAGAAUAAGCUCCGGCUAACUCCGUG